CUCACCUACUUGCUGCAGAACU
rnacentral:misc_RNA from 1 species